rnacentral:rRNA from 1 species
CAGUAGCCGCGGUAAUACGUAGGUCCCGAGCGUUGUCCGGAUUUAUUGGGCGUAAAGCGAGCGCAGGCGAUUAGAUAAGUCUGAAGUUAAAGGCUGUGGCUUUACUAUAGUACGCUUUGGAAACUGUUUAACUUGAGUGCAGAAGGGGAGAGUGGAAUUCCAUGUGUAGCGGUGAAAUGCGUAGAGAUGUGGAGGAACACCAGUGGCGAAGGCGACUCUCUGGUCUGUAACUGACGCUGAGGAGCGAAAGCGUGGGGAGCGAACAGGAUUAGAUACCCCCGUAGUCCCUGUCUCUUAUACA